rnacentral:rRNA from 1 species
UACGUAGGGGGCAAGCGUUAUCCGGAUUUACUGGGUGUAAAGGGAGCGUAGACGGUGAUGCAAGUCAGAAGUGAAAGCCCGGGGCUCAACUCCGGGACUGCUUUUGAAACUGUGUGACUGGAGUGCAGGAGAGGUAAGCGGAAUUCCUGGUGUAGCGGUGAAAUGCAUAGAUAUCGCGCAGAACUCCGAUUGCGAAGGCAGCAUGCCGGCUCCACACUGACGCUGAGGCACGAAAGCGUGGGUAUCGAACAGG